GGCACGGGAGGAGGGAGGGAAGAAAGGGCCAAGGCAGCAGAAACGAGACACACAGGAGAGGCGGCGAGAGCGGGCUCAGCCUUGCGCAGCACCUGCCGUCCGCGCGCCCAGCGGGCCCGGGGGCGGACGGCAGCGAAGAGCCGAGCAGCGAGCGGGGCAGCGCCGGGCUGCCGGGAGGGCGGCCCCAGCAAGGGGCCAGGCCGCGGCGGAGCUCACCCACAGCCGGCGGCGGCCCGGGCCCGCGCGCACCCCAGCGGCCCCGGCCCAGCACGAGGGGAUUUUCGCGGCCUCCCGCUCCGCAGCGGCCCGCACGCCGCCUCCUCACGCCGCCGCCUCGCGCCACCCCGCGCGGCCCGAGGGGCUCCGGGCGGCACCGCCCCGCGGCCUCCCGUAGGAAGCCCGAAUGGGACCCGCCGCCUCUCGGCCGCGGCUUCGGCCUCGGCCCCCGCUCCCCCCGGCCUGCCGACGCCGAACCGCCGGGCCGGGCCGGGCGGCGACGCUCGAGCUCUCGGCGAGCCGCAGGCCUCGCGGGGUGAGCCGGCCCGGCGGCCCGGGCAAGGCGCCGAUAAAGGUUUCCCCGCGCCUCUCCUGCCCCCGUCGCUCACCUCGGCUUCGCGGAGCCCCUUCGCCAGAGCCGACCCCUCCUCAGCGCCGCGGGGAGGCGGAGGAAGAGGCAAAGCGGCGGCGACGGCCCGAGCCCCGGAGCAGACGGCGGCCAGCGGCAUCCAUGGCGCUCCGCCCGGUACGGGAUUGGUGGGAGGAGGAGGAGCCGGCGCCGGCCGCGCUGCCGCUAGGGGCGCUGUGAGAGCGGCCCGCGCCUCCCGCCGCCCCCUACGGCGCCGAGGCGGGGGAACGGCUUCGGGCCGGCGCGGCCCCCGCCGCCUCGUACGGCCGCGUCGGCGCCCCGCUUUUCCGCCUGCACGGCCGCCUCUGGGCUGCGGCUGCGCUGCGGCGCCUCUUCGAGGCCGGCGGCCUCUCGGAGCGCAGGGUCGGGGCCCCGCGCUUCCUUUUGGCUGCUCGCGGGGCGAAGCCCCAGACUCGACUUCCUACCUCGGCGGGGUGCCGGCCUCGGCGCCCGUGCCCGUGCCCGCGCCUGGCCUCCCCAGGGCCCGGCUGCCCUCGGCGGCGCGGAGGGGCUGGGGGACGUGCCGUGUCCGCGCGGCCUGCAGCGGGGAGCCCGGACCUGCUGCUCUUCGGCCUGCGUAG
rnacentral:lncRNA from 1 species